rnacentral:rRNA from 1 species
UACGUAGGGGGCAAGCGUUGUCCGGAUUUAUUGGGCGUAAAGAGCGUGUAGGCGGCUUUACAGGUCCGUUGUGAAAACUCGAGGCUCAACCUCGAGACGCCGGUGGAAACCGUAAAGCUAGAGUCCGGAAGAGGAGAGUGGAAUUCCUGGUGUAGCGGUGAAAUGCGCAGAUAUCAGGAAGAACACCCGUGGCGAAAGCGGCUCUCUGGGACGGUACUGACGCUGAGACGCGAAAGCGUGGGGAGCAAACAGG